CCCAGACUCCUACGGGAGGCAGCAGUGGGGAAUAUUGCACAAUGGGGGGAACCCUGAUGCAGCGACGCCGCGUGAGUGAAGAAGUAUUUCGGUAUGUAAAGCUCUAUCAGCAGGGAAGAUAAUGACGGUACCUGACUAAGAAGCCCCGGCUAACUACGUGCCAGCAGCCGCGGUAAUACGUAGGGGGCAAGCGUUAUCCGGAUUUACUGGGUGUAAAGGGUGCGUAGGUGGCAGGGCAAGUCAGAUGUGAAAGCCCGGGGCCCAACCCCGGUACUGCAUUUGAAACUGUCCGGCUGGAGUGCAGGAGAGGUAAGCGGAAUUCCUAGUGUAGCGGUGAAAUGCGUAGAUAUUAGGAGGAACACCAGCGGCGAAGGCGGCUUACUGGACUGUAACUGACACUGAGGCACGAAAGCGUGGGGAGCAAACAGGAUUAGAUACCCCGGUACG
rnacentral:rRNA from 1 species